rnacentral:rRNA from 1 species
GCACAAGCAGCGGAGCGUGUGGUUUAAUUCGUUGCUACACGAAGAACCUUACCUGGGUUUGACAUAUAGGUUGUAGGGAACUGAAAAGGGACCGACCUUCGGGGAGCUUAUACAGGUGUUGCAUGGCUGUCGUCAGCUCGUGUCGUGAGAUGUUCGGUUAAGUCCGCUAACGAGCGCAACCCUCGCCGUAUGUUACAAGUGUCAUACGGGACUGCCGGUAAAAGCCGGAGGAAGGUGAGGAUGAUGUCAAGUCAGCAUGACCUUUAUAUCCAGGGCUACACACACGCUACAAUGGUCUGUACAAUUGGUUGCCAAGCCGCGAGGCGGAGCCAAUCCGUAAAGCAGGCCUCAGUUCAGAUUGCAGUCUGCAACUCGACUGCAUGAAGCCGGAGUUGCUAGUAACCGCAGGUCAGCAAUACUGCGGUGAAUACGUUCCCGGGUCUU